GCCCCAGUGGCUCAAGUGGAUAGAGCGAGGCACUCCUAACGCCUAGAUUGGGGGUUCGAGUCCCUCCUGGGGCA
rnacentral:tRNA from 1 species